UCGAAGCCAAGGUUCCCUCCCUUCUCUCCCCAUUGGCUGGGUACUGCAAGGCUUUCCCCUUACAAUUAUCCCCCGGAGAUAUCCUGCCUCCCAGGCGGGGGUUCCCAUUCCCGCCCGCGCUGCCCAGGGGCGCUGCUGCUGCCAGGAUUUCGGGUCAGGAAGACGAUGGUCAAGAUUCUACAGAGCCAUCUGUGAAUUCAUUGGGAAAAACAAAAAAACAGUUUAAAUGCAGGGAAUGUGGAAUGUGCUUUCGUCACUGUAGAAAAA